AGGCAGCAGUUGGGAAUCUUCCGCAAUGGGCGAAAGCCUGACGGAGCGACGCCGCGUGAGCGAAGAAGGCCUUCGGGUCGUAAAGCUCUGUUAUAAGAGAAGAACAAAUUGUAGAGUAACUGCUACAGUCUUGACGGUAUCUUAUCAGAAAGCCACGGCUAACUACGUGCCAGCAGCCGCGGUAAUACGUAGGUGGCAAGCGUUGUCCGGAUUUAUUGGGCGUAAAGGGAGCGCAGGUGGUUUCUUAAGUCUGAUGUGAAAGCCCACGGCUUAACCGUGGAGGGUCAUUGGAAACUGGGAAGCUUGAGUACAGAAGAGGAAUGUGGAACUCCAUGUGUAGCGGUGGAAUGCGUAGAUAUAUGGAAGAACACCAGUGGCGAAGGCGACAUUCUGGUCUGUUACUGACACUGAGGCUCGAAAGCGUGGGGAGCAAACAGGAUUAGAUACCCUAGUAGUCC
rnacentral:rRNA from 1 species